rnacentral:rRNA from 1 species
UCCGUAGGUGGAUAAUUAAGUCAGAGGUGAAAUCCUGCAGCUUAACUGUAGAACUGCCUUUGAUACUGUUAAUCUUGAGUCAUUAUGAAGUGGUUAGAAUGUGUAGUGUAGCGGUGAAAUGCAUAGAUAUUACACAGAAUACCGAUUGCGAAGGCAGAUCACUAAUAAUGUACUGACACUGAGGGACGAAAGCGUGGGGAGCGAACAGGAUUAGAUACCCUGGUAGUCC